rnacentral:rRNA from 1 species
AGCUCCAAUAGCGUAUAUUAAAGUUGUUGCAGUUAAAAAGCUCGUAGUCGAAGUUCUGGCUGGUCCUGUUUCCGGCUUCGGUCGACUCAGGACCUAGUCAUCCGUCGGAGAACCCUUGUCGUCCUUUACUGGUCGCUUGGGGGAACUGACCCUUUACUUUGAAAAAAUUAGAGUGUUUCAGGCAGGCUCUCGCCCGAAUACUCCAGCAUGGAAUAAUGGAAUAGGACUUUCUUCUAUUUUGUUGGUUAUUAGUGGAAAGUAAUGAUUAAUAGGGACAGUUGGGGGCAUUCGUACUUAAUUGUCAGAGGUGAAAUUCUUGGAUUUAUUAAAGACGAACUAAUGCGAAAGCAUUUGCCAAGGAUGUUUUCA